AACGAACGCUGGCGGCAUGCCUAACACAUGCAAGUCGAACGAGACCUUCGGGUCUAGUGGCGCACGGGUGCGUAACGCGUGGGAACCUGCCCUUAGGUUCGGAAUAACUCCCCGAAAGGGGUGCUAAUACCGGAUAAUGUCUUCGGACCAAAGAUUUAUCGCCUUUGGAUGGGCCCGCGUUGGAUUAGCUAGUUGGUAGGGUAAAAGCCUACCAAGGCGACGAUCCAUAGCUGGUCUGAGAGGAUGAUCAGCCACACUGGGACUGAGACACGGCCCAGACUCCUGCGGGAGGCAGCAGUGGGAAUAUUGGACAAUGGGCGAAAGCCUGAUCCAGCAAUGCCGCGUGAGUGAUGAAGGCCUUAGGGUUGUAAAGCUCUUUUACCCGGGAUGAUAAUGACAGUACCGGGAGAAUAAGCUCCGGCUAACUCCGUG
rnacentral:rRNA from 1 species